UGCCCAAAUGAAUGGAUAAAGAAGAUAUGGUACAAGAAAUUGUUAAUGUGGCUACAUUGAGAGGCAGGUCGUGCUUCCAUCACAGUGGUUUUAUUGCAGUGGUGACAAUGAGACCUGUAACAUUU